rnacentral:rRNA from 1 species
UACGUAGGGUGCGAGCGUUAAUCGGAAUUACUGGGCGUAAAGCGUGCGCAGGCGGCUUUGCAAGACAGAUGUGAAAUCCCCGGGCUCAACCUGGGAACUGCAUUUGUGACUGCAAGGCUAGAGUACGGCAGAGGGGGAUGGAAUUCCGCGUGUAGCAGUGAAAUGCGUAGAUAUGCGGAGGAACACCGAUGGCGAAGGCAAUCCCCUGGGCCCGUACUGACGCUCAUGCACGAAAGCGUGGGGAGCAAACAGG